GAUGAACGCUGGCGGCGUGCCUAAUACAUGCAAGUCGAGCGAACAGACGAGGAGCUUGCUCCUCUGACGUUAGCGGCGGACGGGUGAGUAACACGUGGAUAACCUACCUAUAAGACUGGGAUAACUUCGGGAAACCGGAGCUAAUACCGGAUAAUAUAUUGAACCGCAUGGUUCAAUAGUGAAAGACGGUUUUGCUGUCACUUAUAGAUGGAUCCGCGCCGCAUUAGCUAGUUGGUAAGGUAACGGCUUACCAAGGCAACGAUGCGUAGCCGACCUGAGAGGGUGAUCGGCCACACUGGAACUGAGACACGGUCCAGACUCCUACGGGAGGCAGCAGUAGGGAAUCUUCCGCAAAGGGCGAAAGCUUGACGGAGCAACGCCGCGUGAGUGAUAAAGGUCUUCGGAUCGUAAAACUCUGUUAUUAGGGAAGAACAAAUGUGUAAGUAACUAUGCACGUCUUGACGGUACCUAAUCAGAAAGCCACGGCUAACUACGUG
rnacentral:rRNA from 1 species